rnacentral:rRNA from 1 species
AUGCACGCUAGCGGCAGGCCUCAUCCAUGCAAGUCGGACGGGAUUCAGGAGCUUGCUUCUGAUGAGAGUGGCGCACGGGUGCGUAACACGUAUGUAACCUACCUUUAUCAGGGGGAUAGCCUCUCGAAAGAGAGAUUAAGCCCGCAUAAAAUCACAGCACAGCAUUGUGUAAUGAUCAAAUAUUUAUAGGAUAAAGAUGGGCAUGCGGAACAUUAGCUAGAUGGCGGGGUAACGGCCCACCAUGGCGACGAUGUUUAGGGGAUCUGAGAGGAUGGCCCCCCACACUGGUACUGAGACACGGACCAGACUCCUACGGGAGGCAGCAGUAAGGAAUAUUGGUCAAUGGGCGGAAGCCUGAACCAGCCAUGCCGCGUGCAGGAAGACGGCCCUACGGGUUGUAAACUGCUUUUAUACGGGAAUAAACCCAGAUACGUGUAUCUGGCUGAAUGUACUGUAAGAAUAAGGAUCGGCUAACUCCGUG